GAAGAGUGAUGGAGCCUGGUCUUGAGGAGCAACGCUUAGGAAUUACUUAAAACAAGGAAGCAAAUAGCUUGGUCAGCCUUUACACAUCGCUCUGACCACUCUCGGGGCAUCCAGAAGGGUCUCAGCCUCAACAGAGAGACUCCCUCAUCUGAGAGAUAAAGGAAUGUGAGCCAUGACGUGAAGGUGCCCUUCACAAUAACACACAAUGGCUCCUUGACCAAGUGUGUCCCAGGUUUAAAAGAGGAAACAAAGGCAGAGUCCAGGUGGCAAGCCAAGAAUGUUCAAGAAAAGAGCCGUGUCAUAUAAUAGGAUCCAAGACAAUGGCCUUUCUGUGAUGAAGUCAUUUAGACCUUGUGGGUGCUUAAAUCUGGCCGUGACGUAAUCCUGAUGUGUGGGAGUGUGUCUUUAACACAUCUGCCUCUUUCACAAUGCUCCGCUCAUAGUAAAUACGAAUGGAACCC
rnacentral:lncRNA from 1 species